rnacentral:lncRNA from 11 species
GGCACACUAAGAGCAAAAAAUACAAUGGAAGUUGGGAGUCUGGGUGGCUUUUGGCUUCACCAGUAUCUGCAGAAUCAAGGCAGAGUAAAUGUGUAUCAAAAAAUCAGCCACAGUAGGAGGUAUCCGUCUCCCAGGUAAUAGCUAAAUGACAAGCAGAUGAGCCGCCAUCGUAUUGAUUUAAGCAUUUCGUUCCAGCCAGUCACAAUUAACUUUGAUUUGUUUUUACUUUCCUCUUACAGGUUUGCAUUUAAAGCACUCUGAGAGCACUAAUUGUAUAAAAAUUUUACUAAACUGCACAUUCUCUUUCUGGAGAGGUAAUGAAUGAAUGAACAUAAAAGCUGGAAUUUGUCUGAGAUUUGAAGCCGGAGAUUUUCCCAGCACUUUUUUCUCUGUGUGAAAUUGGAACUGAAGAUGUUCUGUGUGACAACCCGCCAUCAUCCAUAGCCACCAUGCCCAAUGGUUGAGGAUACAGGAGAUCAAAGAAUCAAACAUCAGGAAAAUAAUAGACUGGAAAAUUGUUCCAGUUGGAGCUGUGACUGUUUGCUGGCAAAGUAUAAGGUCUAUCCUGGAUUAUUCCUGUGUUAACGCCCAGGCGGAGAAAUUAAAUGAAAAUGAGUGGGACAAAAAGAGAGAAAUGGCUGCCAAGACCAAAUUCUCACAAAGGCAGCCCUAGAAAGACAAAUCAGAAGGCCAAAGAAGAGAGAAACCUGAACAUUUUAAAAGUCUCCUUCGAGUCUGCACGUUUUUGUUGGCCAGGGCAGGACAUUAUAAUGUACAGUCCCCGAAGGAUCAGUCAGAAUGGAUGCCUAUUGUGGGAUGCUGUAACAGACAUGAGUGAUGUUUUGGCAGGCAAUUGCAAUAACUCUAGCUAUCUGAUUGCAUUACCGUCUACUAGGCAAAGGGUGUCUCCUGGGAAGAAGCAUUACUUAAGAGCUGGUCAUGGCAAUAAUAACAAGAAGAAAAGGGAAAUGGUUCAACACAUUGUUCAGCGAUCUUUUAGAUUUCACUGA